rnacentral:rRNA from 1 species
GAGAUUGGAAUUCCUGGUGUAGCGGUGGAAUGCGCAGAUAUCAGGAGGAACACCGAUGGCGAAGGCAGAUCUCUGGGCCGUAACUGACGCUGAGGAGCGAAAGGGUGGGGAGCAAACAGGCUUAGAUACCUGGUAGUCCACCCCGUAAACGUUGGGAACUAGUUGUGGGGUCCAUUCCACGGAUUCCGUGACGCAGCUAACGCAUUAAGUUCCCCGCCUGGGGAGUACGGCCGCAAGGCUAAAACUCAAAGGAAUUGACGGGGACCCGCACAAGCGGCGGAGCAUGCGGAUUAAUUCGAUGCAACGCGAAGAACCUUACCAAGGCUUGACAUAUACGAGAACGGGCCAGAAAUGGUCAACUCUUUGGACACUCGUAAACAGGUGGUGCAUGGUUGUCGUCAGCUCGUGUCGUGAGAUGUUGGGUUAAGUCCCGCAACGAGCGCAACCCUCGUUCUAUGUUGCCAGCACGUAAUGGUGGGAACUCAUGGGAUACUGCCGGGGUCAACUCGGAGGAAGGUGGGGAUGACGUCAAAUCAUCAUGCCCCUUAUGUCUUGGGCUUCACGCAUGCUACAAUGGCCGGUACAAAGGGCUGCAAUACCGUGAGGUGGAGCGAAUCCCAAAAAGCCGGUCCCAGUUCGGAUUGAGGUCUGCAACUCGACCUCAUGAAGUCGGAGUCGCUAGUAAUCGCAGAUCAGCAACGCUGCGGUGAAUACGUUCCCGGGUCUUGUACACACCGCCCGUCAAGUCAUGAAAGUCGGUAACACCUGAAGCCGGUGGCCUAACCCUUGUGGAGGGAGCCGUCGAAUGUGAUUCCGGAAAUUGGU